rnacentral:misc_RNA from 1 species
GCGAGAAAAAGUAAGCUGCCAUAGAAGCAACCAAAGAUGGCUAAGGGAACAGAUGAUGUCAGAAUCCCGAUGCCAAAUGGGAAGGAUGGUGAGAACAAAAAAGGCUGGAAAUUUUACACCAUCUUCGUUGGGUCUAUUGUAUUUUCGUGCAUUAUUUUUGGGCUUUUAAUCUCUAGCUUAACAGUGGAUAGAUUGCAAAAUUCUAAGAUUUGGGAUUUCGAAUUAUGGAAAUGGUGUGUGUUACUACUGGUUGUUCUGGGCGGUGGAUUGACUGUGUACCUGUUCCUACUUGCUGUGGAGUCGUUGAUCAUUAAGAAUUUCCUUUUCAAGGUCGAAGUGGUUUAUUACUAUCAUGGAAUGAAGAAGAGUGUUUUGGUUUUCAUUUGGCUGGCUUUGGUGUUUUUGGCUUGGGGAUUGCUGUUUUAUCGGGGGGAUAAUAAGCUAAGCGAGGGUACUAAGAAGACUAUAGAUGGUGUUACUAGAGGUAUUGGUGGUUGUCUCAUUGGAGUUGCUAUGUGGUUAGUGAAAACUUUGUUAGUUAAGCUUGUAGCUUCCUUCCAUAUGAAGACUUUGUUUGAGAAAAUUAAAGCAGCAGACCGUAGUCGUAAGAUCUUUGAAUCCAUUUCAACGAAGCAAAAGCCCCAGGACGGCACAAUGAAGUACACAACAACAGAGUUAUUUGAUGCGAUUCGGAAUAAAAAGCUGCCUAAUCUCUGCUAUGAGGAAGAAGAAAUCACAGAUGAGAACAGAGCAGCGAAUGCUGCUAAUGAGAUUUUCAAGAAAUUUGAACGUGGUGACGAUGAAAGAUACAUAGACAUGAAUGAAUUAUUGGAAUACAUACCUGAUGAUGCCGAUGAUUAUAAGCAUUUCAAAGAAGCAGCAGAAGAAAAACAGAUGGGCGAAGGUAAACAGAUCAAGAGAUCAGUUUUCAGGAGUUGGGUGGUUUCACUUUACAACAGCUAUGACUCUGUUAACAGCGCCUUGAAACAAAGGAAAACAGCGGUUGACGAGUUGAAUAAAUUGUUUUCCGUGGUUGUGCUUCUCGUUAUCAUUGUAGUGUGGUUACUUUUCAUGGAAUAUUUAAACAUCAAAGUACUUGUCUUCAUGUCUUCUCAAAUUCUACUUGUAGUUUUCAUGUUUGGCAACGCUGCAAAGACUGUAUUUGAAUCCAUCAUAUUCGUAUUUAUCAUGCACCCCUUUGAUGUAGGCGAUCGGUGUGUUGUUGAUGGCAUACAGGCAAGUCCCUAAUCUCAAAACCUUGUGAUGGAUGAUUCAUUUAGCUGAUAAUAAUGAUUAAUAUUUUGAUACUUACAUUGAUUCCAGAUGAUUGUUGAAGAGAUGGAAAUACUAACGACAAACUUUCUGAGAUAUGAUAAUGAAAAGAUAUACUAUCCUAAUUCAGUUUUAGCUACCAAACCCAUUAGCAACUUAUACAGAAGUCCACCAAUGUCAGAUUCUUUCGAAUUUGCUAUUGAUCUUCAUACUUCAAAGGAGAAAAUUGAGAAUUUACAAGCUAGCAUCAGAGAGUACUUUGAAGCCAAUCCUAGGCGAUGGAGUCCUGCUAGUGACAGCCUACAGUUUAAGGAGAUAGAGGAUAUGAAUAAAAUGAAAGUGGCUCUCUAUUUUAAACACACCAUAAACUUUCACAAUGUUGCAAAGAGGUUCAAACGAAGAUCUGAGCUCGUAUUAGCGAUGAAGGACAUUUUUGAAAAGCUUAUGAUUAAAUAUUAUCUGUUGCCUCAGAGAGUUCAUCUCAUCGAUGGACCUUCUUUGGGAAAAAGUAGCUCUCUCACUCCUGCUGUACAGAGACGUUCCUUCUCUUUCUAAAGUUUGAUGACUCAAAAUAUUUCUCCAUUAGUUCUACCAUAUAUUUUAUAUCUUAAAUUAAUGAUGAAUAAGAUUUGUAUAAGAAAAAUCUUUCUUUUUGUGUGUUUGUCAAGAUUUCUUGCAAACUUUCUUUGGAUAUAUGUAUCACUUGUAAACUAAUGAUAGAUUU